UCUCCCAGCUCAGCUCUCAGCUGUUCCUUUCAACCCCUGCAGCUCCCCUGCCCCGUGGCAGCCCUCGGCCAGGUCAGGAGCACAGACCCAGAAGGUUCUGUGGGCUGGAGACCAGAGGCAUCACCACCGUCUGGUACAGAGCUGGCCGGCAGUGAGGAAGUCCUGAGGUUUCUUGUUUUGUUUCUGAGUUGUUUUUUUGUUUGCUUGCUUGGGGGCCACACAUGGCAAUGCUCAAGGGUUACUACUGGCUUUGCACUUAAAAUUACUCCUGGCAGUGCUCAGGGGACCAUAUGGAAUGCUGGAGAUUGAACCCAUGUCAGUUACAUGUAACACAAGUGCCCUCUCCACUGUACUAUCACUCUGGCCCCAAAAAUUCUUGCUGCUUACUGUUAGGGGCCCCCAGGAUCAUGUAUGGGGACUAUGACAACACAUCAAUAUGUAAAUAGUAAGCCAUAUUCUUUCUAAUGUAUUGUUUUUAGCUUAUUUUUGGUUUGGAGGCCAUACCUGGUAAUGUUCAGGGACUGCUCCUGACUUAGUGCUCACAGGAUAACUGAUGGCGUUCUGGAGACUUGAAUCCAGGUUUCCUGCUUGCAAAGUCUGUACCCAGCCCUUGGAGCUUCUCACCAGCCCCCAUAAACAUUCUUAUUAUAAAUGAUGAUUCCUAUUUCUGCCGUGUGGCCCAGGAAACAUUUCUCCCCUUCUCACCAGUCUGCAGCUGAAAAUGAGUCGAAAAUCACCUCUCUCCCUCUCUCUCUCUCUCUCUCUCUCUCUCUCUCUCUCUCUCUCUCUCUCCCUCUGCCUCUCUCUCUCCCUCUCUCUCUCCCUCUUCCUGCUUUCUCUCCCUUCCUCUCUCUCGCUCUCUCUCCUCUCCUCUCUCUCUCCAUCUCACCCUCCCUACCCACCUCCUGAAUUUGGCUGUGUGAUCUUGGGGCAUGACUUAACUUCUCUGGGUCUCAGCUCUGCCCUCUCCAAAACAGGACAAGAGCUUGUGUGUGAGUUGCUGUGAGUCGCCGUUAAUCAAUGUUCUCUGUUCAUUUAUUUCACCAGCCACAGAGCUGGUGCUGAUGGAGCGGCCGCCUGUAUGCUCAGCACGCAGCCAGGGGCAGGGGUGUUUGAGAUCAGCCUUCACUCACAUCUGUCUCCCGAAGGCUCGUUUCUUUGCCUGGGGUGUGAGUGUGGCUGUCACUCAUCCUGCUUGCCCCUGAGAUGAGAUUAAGGAUGAGUACCCACCCUUGGGCUGGCAUGGCAGAGGGAGAGAUGCGGGAACUCCUCUCCUUGGCUCUGUCCUCAGCGAAGAGCAGUUCCUUGGGCUUCCUUGCUGAGCGGAGGUGGAGCAGGGCGUGUGGGCCGGAUGGGCUCCCCUACCUCCAGUCCGAGGACAGAGAGCCAGGAGGCCACCGUGAGCCCAGCAGGGCAUCCUGGAGGGGGCAGGACAUGAGGGCAGGUCCUGGCUGCUGUCAUUGUGCAGGAGCCCACAGGGCAGCUAAGCACCAGGUUCCACCCCAACACCGCAGGGUCCCCGGCACUGCCCAGAGCCUUGGCCACAGCGGAGUGUGGUGAUAACAAGGCAACCAAAUCUGAUCCCGUGGAGGAGCAGGAGCCACGGGGGAAAUCCCUGCUAAAGCACCGUCCCCCAGGGCUCUCUGCAGACACGGCCUGGGGCAAGACCUCAGGCUGCCCCACCCACACAGCCCCAGUGCCCAUCGAGGGCCCCAGGCUGGGACGACCCUUCUCUGUCCACCCCUCCAGGCGGGCAGCCCGAAGGAGGCAUAAACGGAGCUGUCACUGGGGCCUCUGUCCCACAGGGCCCAGCGUGAGUCAGCCACCCCGACCCCCGUGCCCCCUGAGGGGAGUGUGCUCCGCCUGCCCACCCUGGGACUGGACCUCAACUCUCCGUGUGCCGCCCAGGCCCACCCCAGCAGCACCCCGGAGGGACAGGACUGUCCCCAGCAGGGGCGGGCAGGCACUGCGCUGAGCUGACAGACGCCUCCCAGGCGCUGUAUUUCCUCUCCCGUCAGAGGGUUCCCGAGUCAGGCUGAAGCGCUGCCCGCCUAACUCACCACCUGUCGAUAUUAACUUCUCCCUCCCGUAAAUCUCUCUCCGAGGACGGUGCCAGCUGCUCUCGCACUGCACCCCUCCCCAGGCCAUGGCCCAAGACACAGACUGCCGUAUGCGCACAUGUGCACCCUCACGUGUUUAUAUGUGAAUGCACAUACAUCACUGUGUUUACAUAUGUGUAUGGAUACACCCUCACGUGUUUGCACAUGUGCAAGUGUGUACACACCCUCACAUCUGUGCUUACAUGUACAUAUGUUCAUGAACGAACCCGCACACCUGGGUCUUCACAUGCAUGCAUGCAUUCACUCAUACGUGUUUAUUUAUGUGUGUGUGCAUGUACAUGGCACCCUUACAUCUACCUAUGUGUUUGCAUGUGAGUGUAUGCACACAAGCACCCUCACAUCUGCAUAUUCACAUCUCCACCUCUGUUCUUGUGUGUGGGGGCAUUCUCAUAUUUGCUGGUCUGUGGGUCUCAUCCCCCUGGGCAGGUGCCCACGCACUGUGCUCGCAUGUCUGUGUGCCGGUCACAUGUGUCCACAUGUGUGGUGCGUGAACUCCUCCGCUGUUCCUGGAGGCCCCUGGGCAGCCCCUGAGCUGUGCUUCCCAGGUUUGUUCAGCAAGUGGAGACUCAUGGGCCAGCAGGGGGCAUCCCAGCUCCUGGAAAGCUCACACAGGUGUGUCCACCCUGCAGCAGGGAAGCCUACUCACCCCUGCCUGCUCACCCUCCCUACUCACCCCUGCCUGCUCACCCUCCCUACUCACCCAUGCCUACUCACCCCUCCCUACCCACUCCUGCCUGUUCACCCCUCCCUACUCACCCCUGCCUGCUUACCCCUCCUUAGUCACCCCUCCCUGCCUGCUCACCCCUCCCCGCUUACCCCUCCCCACUCACCCAUCUUUGCUUGCUCACCCCUCCCCCACUUGUCCCUCCCUACUCACCCCUUCCUGUCUGCUCUCCCCUCCUGCCCUCUCACUCCUCACUACCUAUUCCCCUGUCCUACCAGCUCACCCUUCCCUACAGUGUCUGAGCCCUUGAGACAGUCAGUCUCUCUGCUGAGCUUCAUAACAGUUAUUUUUAAAAUGACACGUCAUGGGGCAGUAUAGUGCAUAAGGUGCUUGUUCUGUGUGAAGCUGACAUGGGUUUGAACUUCGGCUCCCCAUCUGGUAUCCAAAGCCCCACUAGGAGUGAUACCUGGGCACAGAGGCAGGAGCACGCCCUGAGCAUCGUUUUGAGUGGGGCCCCAAAGCAGAGAACCAUGCCACACAAACCAGGCUGUGUCAACUAAUUGCUUUUGUUUGGUGACCUGCGGGCCCAUCUGCAGUGCUUAGAACAUUAGACCCAUAGGUCCUCUGUUUGGGCCUAACAGUGCUCAGGAGCCUGUGGGGGUCAGCCGGGCCUAUGUGUAAGACAUGAGCCCACACGCCCUUCCUGGGUCCACCGCCCCACACUCACCUUCUCUGCAGAUCCCAGGUGUGAGGGGAGCAUCUCCACCCUGAGAGCUGGACGCGUCGCAUCAGUCACUGCACCGAUGCCUCUGACCACCCCCCUGCCCCCAGGGCCCCCACAUCCCUCCCGUCUCAGGACCAACCCCUCAGUCUGCCUGGCCUUUCCUGAGGGUCACUUCCUGCAGGCCCCAUCAGGCCAGCCAGGGCUGCUCCUGCAGGACGAGUCCAGACCAGCGCAGUCGAGGCUGUGAGCUGCCCCCGCCUUAUGGGCCCUAAGACCAGGCCGGGGAGCUAAGAGCAGCCACCAGGGUUCUCACUAGGCAGCCUGCUGGGCCCAGGAGGGACCCCUGGCCAGUCCUACAGAGGAACACCCUGUUCCAAACCCCCACCCUCAGAAGUCAGACCCCCACACCCCAGCCCCUGUGUGUGCGCCCCUGCAUUUGCUAUUCCCGCACCAGACUUCAUGUGGGGUGGGGGACACUGAGGCAGAGGUGGGAGGUGCUGGGCUGGGGGACCAGGCAGGGUGCAGGCAGCUGCACAGUUCUGUCCAGAGCAGCAGCACUGCUGGCGGCAGCUGGGGGCACCCUGAAUCUGGCCCUGUCUGAGGCUGGAGGCCACACCCCACUUGACUGGUUGGAGGGGGGGAUCUGGGAGAGCAGGGGAGGGGGCAGGAGCCGGGACCCCUCGAGCCGUCCUGAGGGCGCCGGUUUGCUCUGAUGCAGAGUCCUAAGCCAGAGGGGCAGAGUGAGGCGCAGCUCCAGGCCUGGGGAUAGGCUCUGAGCCCUGGGAUGUGUCCACACAGCUCUGCCCCGCCCCCCAGACCCAUACAGAGGGGAGCGGAUAGGCCGCUGCUGGAGGACGGUGCAGUCACCUUGGCUGUGCCACGUGGGCACCAGACCACAGAAGGGCUGUACAAGUUUGCGCUGCUGAUGGGGAAACUGAGGCCCAGAACUCCCUGCUACUGUGGGUGUGGAGCAGGAAGGUGACAGGCUGCACCCGCCCCUCUCUGGCUCUCUGACCAUCGACCACAACGGGACAGAGUAAGGUCCAGCUGGGCCACACUACCAGGCAGCUGGGGACAGUGACAACCUGGCAUCUGUCCUCACUUCCACUUUACAGGCAGGGAGAUACCAGCCACCGACUCAGGGCCACUUUCCCCACGGCCCAUGUGUGGGGCCUGCGAGGGGUCACACGGCACCCGGCCCUGCUGAGGGCAGAGGACCCGCUGACCCCCUGUGGUGACCCCAUGGGGACCUGGUUCCCUGCACCAGGGUGGGGGUGGGUGUCAGGAUCUGAAGAUAGGCCUCAAUUCCAAGCCUCGGGAGCCAGGAACACCAGUGUGUCACUCACGGGCCCCCUGGACUCUGGCCAGCACCCAGGACCAAACCCCACACUCAGUUCUGACCAACUCACCCUCCCAGACCCGUUUCUGAAAAACCCAAAGGGAAAGGAGAGGGUGGAGCCCAGAGCAGCACCAGGCUGCAUGUUCUGCCGCCGCUGGGCUGAGAGAACACGCGUGAAAGGCCCCUUUGUGCCAUCCUGCCUGGCACGCAGCCCGCCUCCUGCUCAAGCCGAGAGCGAGCACCAGCCGGGCGAGGUGGGAGCUCCUGGCCUCACUUCCGGGCUGGAGCCCCAGGAGUGCCAGCAGGCAUGGACAGCGUGGCUGCCCGCAGGGCCCUGGGCAGCUGGGUGGGCAGAGACAGGCCGGAGCAAGGGGCAGGGGAGGCGGGGAGCUGCAGUAUGGGUGUUGAGGACACACUGGGUAUUGAGGCCCAGCAGAGUCCAAUGCCACCGUGAGUGGUCACUGAUUCCACUACCUGGACCUCCCCCUUUUCUCCUCGGCCUGUAAGCCUCAGCACCCCACCCCACCCCCAUGCCACAUGCAGGACAUCCAUGCCUCCAGCUGUGACCGGGGCCUGGGGACCCACAGAAGACUGACUGGCCUUCAGAGAGACGAGGUUGGCGGGCCCAUGUGGGGCUGGCAUGCCCAGGCGGGGGCACCUCACCCUGCUUCUAGGAGGCGCCCCGUAAUGGCUGGAGGCUGGGUGCCUGAGAGUGCUGGGGGUGUGGCAUGGAGAGGGCUGAGACUGUUCAUCCUGCACGGGCCUGGGGGCAGGGGACCAUGCAGUGUCCACGCUGCUGGACUCGGACGGGCAGUAACUGCAGGGGACCGUGCAGGGUCCACACUGCUGGAACUGGGUGGCAGUGACUGGCCCCGGCUUGGCAGCCUGGCAGGGUCUAACCAGAGUGGCAGUGGGCAGCAGAACCAGCGCAGGCCCCAGCUCCCCUCUCAGAGGGGCCGUCUGGGCCCCAGAGCCUGGGCAGCUUUGCUCCAUGAUCUGCUUCCCACACCCCAGGGGCGCUUAUGCCAGGCUUGAGGCACCCACCCCCAGCCUCCACCCCCCACCGGGCUCAGGCUCCCACAGGACAGAAGCUGUUUGUUCCCCGCCUGCUGCUCGCCCUCCCCUCCCCCUCCCUGCCACCCUCCUGGAGGCUGAGAGCCGCAGUUCUCUGGACACGGGGGGGGGGGGGGGGGGGCAGUCAUCCUGGGCCGGCCGUGCUGGCUCCCCAUGCACCCCUUCUUCCUUGAGCAAAGGCGGGGCCACAUGGGCACUGUGUGGGCAGGGUGGGGCUGCUCCCUGCAGGCAGACCCCAGCAAACUGGGCAUGGCCUAUAGUAUCAGCCUGCCUCCCGGCCCUCACACCCCGCCCCCCCUUAGCCUAUAACCCUAGUAAUCUCUACACCCAUACCCCUGCCCUACUUAUUCUGCCCCCCAUUCCCUAUGCCCACAUCCCUUCCCUACUCACCCAUACCCUCCGCACCCCUCUCCAGCUCACCUCUUCCCCACACUCCUGCCCCACUCACCUCUGCCACACACUCCUGCCCCACUCACCUCUGCCCACAUACCCCCCUCACCUCUGUAUUGCUCUCAUCUCCCCCACAGCACCCCCUGCUGGCCAGCAGGCUUCCUCCGGGGCUGGGGCUCUGCACUGCUUCUUAACUGCCGGGGACUGGACAUGGGAUGGACAGGCCCACACCCACCUGGCCCCUCCUCCACUGAGCCUGCUUGAGAUGAAGGGCUGAGGCCACCCCAAAAGCUCCGCACAGGCCAGCCUCCUGUCCUUGUCCUCAGCUGACUCCUCCAUCCAGCCAUCCAGGUGGCAGAAGGACAAUCGCAGGAGUGACCUGUGGAGCAUAAGCAGUCUACACAGCACGCACCACCCAUGUCUAUUCCAAGACAUGCCGGGCUCUACGCAUAUGGCAGGUGCUCUCCUCACCGGGCUCCUGACCGCCCUCCACAGCCCCGCACCCUGCCGGCCCCGCAGACCUGCUUCGGCAAUGGGGAAUGAGGAGCUGUGGACCCAGCCAGCUGUGGAGAUGCCGAAGAGACGGGACAUCCUGG